rnacentral:rRNA from 1 species
GGGUUGUGAGGUUAAGCGACUAAGCGUACACGGUGGAUGCCCUGGCAGUCAGAGGCGAUGAAGGACGUGCUAAUCUGCGAUAAGCGUCGGUAAGGUGAUAUGAACCGUUAUAACCGGCGAUUUCCGAAUGGGGAAACCCAGUGUGAUUCGUCACACUAUCAUUAACUGAAUCCAUAGGUUAAUGAGGCGAACCGGGGGAACUGAAACAUCUAAGUACCCCGAGGAAAAGAAAUCAACCGAGAUUCCCCCAGUAGCGGCGAGCGAACGGGGAGCAGCCCAGAGCCUGAAUCAGUGUGUGUGUUAGUGGAAGCGUCUGGAAAGGCGCGCGAUACAGGGUGACAGCCCCGUACACAAAAAUGCACAUGCUGUGAGCUCGAUGAGUAGGGCGGGACACGUGGUAUCCUGUCUGAAUAUGGGGGGACCAUCCUCCAAGGCUAAAUACUCCUGACUGACCGAUAGUGAACCAGUACCGUGAGGGAAAGGCGAAAAGAACCCCGGCGAGGGGAGUGAAAAAGAACCUGAAACCGUGUACGUACAAGCAGUGGGAGCACGCUUAGGCGUGUGACUGCGUACCUUUUGUAUAAUGGGUCAGCGACUUAUAUUCUGUAGCAAGGUUAACCGAAUAGGGGAGCCGAAGGGAAACCGAGUCUUAACUGGGCGUUAAGUUGCAGGGUAUAGACCCGAAACCCGGUGAUCUAGCCAUGGGCAGGUUGAAGGUUGGGUAACACUAACUGGAGGACCGAACCGACUAAUGUUGAAAAAUUAGCGGAUGACUUGUGGCUGGGGGUGAAAGGCCAAUCAAACCGGGAGAUAGCUGGUUCUCCCCGAAAGCUAUUUAGGUAGCGCCUCGUGAAUUCAUCUCCGGGGGUAGAGCACUGUUUCGGCAAGGGGGUCAUCCCGACUUACCAACCCGAUGCAAACUGCGAAUACCGGAGAAUGUUAUCACGGGAGACACACGGCGGGUGCUAACGUCCGUCGUGAAGAGGGAAACAACCCAGACCGCCAGCUAAGGUCCCAAAGUCAUGGUUAAGUGGGAAACGAUGUGGGAAGGCCCAGACAGCCAGGAUGUUGGCUUAGAAGCAGCCAUCAUUUAAAGAAAGCGUAAUAGCUCACUGGUCGAGUCGGCCUGCGCGGAAGAUGUAACGGGGCUAAACCAUGCACCGAAGCUGCGGCAGCGACACUGUGUGUUGUUGGGUAGGGGAGCGUUCUGUAAGCCUGCGAAGGUGUGCUGUGAGGCAUGCUGGAGGUAUCAGAAGUGCGAAUGCUGACAUAAGUAACGAUAAAGCGGGUGAAAAGCCCGCUCGCCGGAAGACCAAGGGUUCCUGUCCAACGUUAAUCGGGGCAGGGUGAGUCGACCCCUAAGGCGAGGCCGAAAGGCGUAGUCGAUGGGAAACAGGUUAAUAUUCCUGUACUUGGUGUUACUGCGAAGGGGGGACGGAGAAGGCUAUGUUGGCCGGGCGACGGUUGUCCCGGUUUAAGCGUGUAGGCUGGUUUUCCAGGCAAAUCCGGAAAAUCAAGGCUGAGGCGUGAUGACGAGGCACUACGGUGCUGAAGCAACAAAUGCCCUGCUUCCAGGAAAAGCCUCUAAGCAUCAGGUAACAUCAAAUCGUACCCCAAACCGACACAGGUGGUCAGGUAGAGAAUACCAAGGCGCUUGAGAGAACUCGGGUGAAGGAACUAGGCAAAAUGGUGCCGUAACUUCGGGAGAAGGCACGCUGAUAUGUAGGUGAAGUCCCUCGCGGAUGGAGCUGAAAUCAGUCGAAGAUACCAGCUGGCUGCAACUGUUUAUUAAAAACACAGCACUGUGCAAACACGAAAGUGGACGUAUACGGUGUGACGCCUGCCCGGUGCCGGAAGGUUAAUUGAUGGGGUCAGCGCAAGCGAAGCUCUUGAUCGAAGCCCCGGUAAACGGCGGCCGUAACUAUAACGGUCCUAAGGUAGCGAAAUUCCUUGUCGGGUAAGUUCCGACCUGCACGAAUGGCGUAAUGAUGGCCAGGCUGUCUCCACCCGAGACUCAGUGAAAUUGAACUCGCUGUGAAGAUGCAGUGUACCCGCGGCAAGACGGAAAGACCCCGUGAACCUUUACUAUAGCUUGACACUGAACAUUGAGCCUUGAUGUGUAGGAUAGGUGGGAGGCUUUGAAGUGUGGACGCCAGUCUGCAUGGAGCCGACCUUGAAAUACCACCCUUUAAUGUUUGAUGUUCUAACGUUGACCCGUGAUCCGGGUUGCGGACAGUGUCUGGUGGGUAGUUUGACUGGGGCGGUCUCCUCCUAAAGAGUAACGGAGGAGCACGAAGGUUGGCUAAUCCUGGUCGGACAUCAGGAGGUUAGUGCAAUGGCAUAAGCCAGCUUGACUGCGAGCGUGACGGCGCGAGCAGGUGCGAAAGCAGGUCAUAGUGAUCCGGUGGUUCUGAAUGGAAGGGCCAUCGCUCAACGGAUAAAAGGUACUCCGGGGAUAACAGGCUGAUACCGCCCAAGAGUUCAUAUCGACGGCGGUGUUUGGCACCUCGAUGUCGGCUCAUCACAUCCUGGGGCUGAAGUAGGUCCCAAGGGUAUGGCUGUUCGCCAUUUAAAGUGGUACGCGAGCUGGGUUUAGAACGUCGUGAGACAGUUCGGUCCCUAUCUGCCGUGGGCGCUGGAGAACUGAGGGGGGCUGCUCCUAGUACGAGAGGACCGGAGUGGACGCAUCACUGGUGUUCGGGUUGUCAUGCCAAUGGCACUGCCCGGUAGCUAAAUGCGGAAGAGAUAAGUGCUGAAAGCAUCUAAGCACGAAACUUGCCCCGAGAUGAGUUCUCCCUGACUCCUUGAGAGUCCUGAAGGAACGUUGAAGACGACGACGUUGAUAGGCCGGGUGUGUAAGCGCAGCGAUGCGUUGAGCUAACCGGUACUAAUGAACCGUGAGGCUUAA